rnacentral:misc_RNA from 1 species
GAUGAAGAACGUAGCGAAAUGCGAUAAGUAAUGUGAAUUGCAGAAUUCAGUGAAUCAUCGAAUCUUUGAACGCACAUUGCGCCCGCCAGUAUCUGGCGGGCAUGCCUGUUCGAGCGUCAUUUCAACCAUCAAGCCCCAGGCUUGUGUUGGGGACCUGCGGCUGCCGCAGGCCCUGAAAACCAGUGGCGGGCUCGCUGUCACACCGGGCGUAGUAGAUUUUAUCUCGCUCAGGGCGUGCUGCGGGUCCCGGCCGUUAAAAGCCUUUUUUUACCCAAGGUUGACCUCGGAUCAGGUAGGAAGACCCGCUGAACUUAAGCAUAUCAAUAAGCGGAGGA